GGAUUCUAACACCUAACAACCCGAGAUUUGUACAGUAAUUCAAUGCUUAAUUUUCGCGGACGAUAUUUGUGUUCCGCGCUUUUUGGAUCUGGUCAAGUUGGCGUAGUGUAUAAUGUGUAAGCAUACCGAUAACUUGGACCAGGGUUCGAUCACCAGUAUGUGAGGCCUUCCAAAUCUUUCCCAAAAACAUGAAUAACUUCUUCUUUCCAGGCAACUGAUUUGAGUAGGUUUCAACAAGGCUUUCGAUGAUUUCGACCAGACACAAAUACGUUGACAUUGAUAACCAAAUUGAAUAUUUAAAUAUCUCAGCCGUCGGUACGUCUCGAACCUUUCAUGUGUAGGUGAAAACGUGAUUACUUAGUACGUCGGGAUUAUUGUGUUACGGAUAACUGCGAUUAUACAUCCUCUUCUGCAUUUGUGGUUAUGUUGAUGAUUUAUGUUUACAUUAUAAAAUGCUGACUUGCUAUUCAGAAUGCUUAAGAACUUUUAGCGUAACUUAAACUCAUCAACAUCUCAUUUGUAUCAAUCUUCAACUCCGACGCUCAAUAGUUUUAAUAUAAUUGCUCGUUUGAUCACCGACAAUCCACUAGGCAUUGUCAAUGAUGUGCCAAUAGCCAUAGGCUGCCACUCACUCAAAACCGCCACUUUCCUACUCGUAACCCAAUUACAAAUUGAAAGGCGCAGUUCAACAGACCACAUUAAUUGUCUGUAAUGUACAGAAAAUAAUCCAUCCUACAUGGUAAGCGAUGAUGACAGAAUACGCACAAUCGGCACUUGAAAUACAGUUCAUGUAUUAUGCAAAUAGCCGACUGAAACGGAAAAGCUAGUGGAAGUUUUGUUUCAAUUGUUAACAGUUGUUGCGUCCAAUAUGUGUUUUCGUCGGUGCUGCUGCCCAAAACAGGAUGAUAAUCCAUGGAGCGGUUAGCAUAUUUGAUAUUAAUGUAUUGUCAAAACUGUACGAAAGCGAAUACAUGUAUGACACGGAAGAAUAUGUUCAAUAUGUUUAUAUUUAAAAGUGUGUGACAAUUGAUAUAGUUUAAACAACAAUUGAGCUUGUUAAGUGUUCUACGAAUAUUUUAAAAUUACCUGUUCACAAUUUGGUCAAGUGACGAUUUCUAAGUAAUUGUCCUAGAUAAAAAAAAUUAUGUAUGCAUUAUUAAAAACAAAAUAACACU